UGACGUGGGGCUCGAUCUCCUGAACCGAAAUUAAGAAUCAGAAGCUCAACUAACUUGAGCCACCCAGGCACCCUUGCCCAAAGGAGGGACUGCUUUGGUAAAAUCUAACACAUGUACAGAAAAAGUGCAUAAAGCACAGAUGUACAACUAAAUAUUCUAGAGUGAACACCUAUGUAACGAUCACCCAAAUCCAGCAGCAGAAAUUCUCGAAUUUUCCCCAGAAACAUUUUAUAUGUCCAUUUACAGUCACCACCCUCUCUUUUGUCCCGAAGUUAACACCCUCCUGACUUUUACAUGAACACCUCCUUGCAUCAGCAAACGUGUAUGUUUGUAUCUUCCUUGCUUUUGCCAUUUUGUUUCCAAGAUGUGUUACGUUAGCAUAACUGCAGCUCAUGUGUGUUCACUGCUGCCCUCGCCAAUGUCUCCUUUCCCAACACCAGCUAUCCUGGGUCCUUGCUAUUUCCGUAUCACUGCGCAAUUUCAUUUAUGUAAGGAACAAAACAGGCAAAAGCACACAAUUUUAUAUGAACAAGCAAAGCAGAGGGUUUUAUAUGAAGGGCUUCCUAGGCUCACAAAUUACAUAAAAGGUUAAAUGACCUGCUUUUUCAGGAUCCCAAUGUUACUUACUGUUGAAUAAAGAUGCAAAAUACAGAAUAGUACAUAUGGUAUGAUCCUAUUAAACAAAGACACAUUUUUGUACCUGUACAUCUAUGUACACGUAAGUAUUUACCAGUUCAAACAAUUCUAGAAUUCUACACGGUCCAAAUUGUUACCAGUGGUUACCUCCAGUAUGUGGGAAUGAAGCAGAAUGCAGGAGCCUUGGAAAGUCUGUGUGCAUGGGAGAAGCUACGGGCCCUCCUGGCUAUCAGCUGUUUGAUGGCAGUCACCUCCUUCUGAGCUGUCUCUUCUCCGUGCCGAUCACCACCGCCACACCCCUGGGUCAGACGGGUCUCCGAAUGUGGUCUGAGCAUGUGCCAGAAGAGCUGGACCACGGCCUCCUCCGGCGGACCCUCCCCUUUCUCACUUAAUGCAGCCAAAGCCAGAAGAGCACUUUUCAGAAAUUGCAUCAGACUGAGGAAGCCGACUGCCAUUGAAAUGCCUCCGCCAGUGCCAGGCUCCUGUCUUGAUGCCUGUGAUUUGUCUUUGGGCCCCUGGGGCAGGUCACUAAAUUUAUCCCUUUCAGUUCUC